rnacentral:rRNA from 1 species
UACGUAGGGACCAAGCGUUGUUCGGAUUUACUGGGCGUAAAGGGCGCGUAGGCGGCGUGUUAAGUCAGCUGUGAAAUCUCCGAGCUUAACUCGGAACGGUCAGCUGAUACUGAUGUGCUAGAGUGCAGAAGGGGCAAUCGGAAUUCCUGGUGUAGCGGUGAAAUGCGCAGAUAUCAGGAGGAACACCGGUGGCGAAGGCGGGUCUCUGGGCAGUAACUGACGCUGAGGAGCGAAAGCGUGGGGAGCGAACAGG